UCUUGUCAUUGGGGACAGUACCAGCAGGGGAUCAGGCUUAGUGCCUUUCUCAUCUCAAGUUCCUUAUUUAGUCUCACCUGAAAGAGUUCAUUCUUGUAUCUCUCUCCCUAUGACAAGGUUGGCCUUUCUUAGUCUGUAAGGCUCAGACAGAAAAAAAAAAAAAAAAACAUGCAUCAGAUAAGCAGCAGAGCUCUGGAGAUUUCACUGACCUUUACAGGAGCAAUGGGGGAAGCAAGGUCUCUGUCUUGAACUUCAAACGCAUCACUUUGGGCUCCUAAAGAUUCCUGAGAAGAUAGAGAUUUGUUGUCAGCAGACCUGGUUUACCAAAAUGAGCUUCACAUGCUAACACUUCACCAUAAAAUAAUCUAUCCUUUCAUGCAGAUAUGACGCCAGGAGGGUUAUGCUUUUGUGAAAUAAAAAAUACUGUUUUUCAAAACAGAAAAAGAACAACCUUAUCAAGUGUAAGGUCUAUUCAACUGCUAAAAUCCUUCCACAACAACUAAAAAUCAAUAUCUAUCUAACCCAAAGCAGUAGUUCCAAAUGUGUGUCAAAAGACUUCUAAAUUAGCUUUAAAAGGGCAACAAUUCCUCAUAAAACAGCUGCGGGGGCUGCAGUCUGCUGUACUCUGCUGUUUGAAAACCUCGACCUUUAUCAGCGAGCAAACUUGUGAGGUAAUUGAGUUAGUCUUGUUUGUAGCUACACACGAUUAGGUUUGAUUGUCUACUUUGGAGCUAUAAUAGCCAAAGAAUAACGAGGAGCAUAAUAAAUUGCCUGCUCUCAGGGAUUUCUAGUUAGAGAGGUAUUAUUAUAAUGGGUGAAGUUGAGCUCUUGGGGAAUCUGCAUUGCUUCAUAUGAGGCAACUUUUGCUGAAGAAGCUGAGCUUAAAGACAAGAUUAUCCCGUGGCUUUUAAUGCCGGGGCUGCUGCUGUAAGCACAAAAGACAGAAAUUUUACUGCACUGCAGAAAAAAAUCCAAAGAGUUUUUAUAAGUGAGGAAAAACAGAUCUUAAUAUUAGUACAAAGCUUUGAAAUUUUGUGUUAUUGAAUGUCUUUUCCUCAGCCUUCGCCGCUGCUGCAAAACCCUAAACGGUCCAGUGAGAAACAGAAACAAGCUGCAAAACCAAGGAUGUGUCUCUGCCAAGACAAUUACCUAUUACCUCCCCCUACAGUAAAAAUAUCACAAGGCAAUAACUCCCCCACCCCCUUAAAAAAAACAACUAAUGGUACAAAAUAAGACAAAGCUUGCUGGAUAAAGUCCCAAAUGGAUUUGUGAGGCUCAGGAUCCUGUUACGGGAACUUAACAGAGGAAAACAGACUCAUAAAUCUACAGACUCAUCAACAGGAAGCAUCAUUCACGGGCAAGCUAAUCCAAUUUCCUUUUGUGCUGAAUGUUUUGUGAGUCACCAAAGUUAUAAGUGGACACCAUUUACUCUGGGUGAAGACAAAGAAACAAAGAGCAGUACUUCGAAGACAGGAGGAGUCAUCAGAAGUUGAGCUUUGAACUUUUUUUCUUGAAUACAUUUCCAGGCCCUUCAAUCCACGCUCACAGACACAAAGAGCCAAAAGUACUUCUAAAAGAAGAAACAUUUUAUUUUGAAUGUCCAUUUGCGUGUUUUUGUUAGUGCAGAUUAUCAAAUGAAUUGCAAAACCUCUUCAGACUUCAGAAGUUCAGAAGUUGAGGUUCGAGAGGUUCUCUAACUUGAGCAGGUGCAUCAAAGCUUUAUUUGGCUGUUUCUCAUCUAUAAUAGAAUUCAGUGUUUUUUAAGGCACUGUGAGAAGGUUUUAACUUCAUUUGAAAAAGUUUGAUUUUUCUACUCAUAGUUCUACAUGAUUUCUGUUGUAAAACCAGGAAAAGUACCAAAACAGGAAAACUCCUUACAGUGCCUUUAACGGUUUUAUUUUUCUUUAUCUUUUUGAUUGCUUUUCAAAAGAGUGAAUUCAUGUGAUAAUGAGUAUUAUGUCUGUGUUUAAAAAUAGCAGGUGUUUAUACAAAAUUCACCCAUAUUAAAAACUAAAAACUUCACUUUUUCUUAAAUUUAGAGCAUUAUAGUUCAAGUUUUGAAAGUCUACCUUGAGACUUCUACAAAGCUGAAGUCAUGAUAUAGAAGGAGACUCCUCUGAAACUGAAGCUAAAAGACUCAGAGCUAUUCUUCAUGAUUGGAUUAAGUAUGGAUAAUAAAGCUGUCCUUUUACUUUGUUACCCAAUGGGACAUACUGUAGGUCAAAAUCAAACACAAAUCAAAUCAGUAUUUCUCAGUCAUGGUUUCUGCUAUAAUAGCUAGCUCCUAAUAUUGGCUUUCGUGUCCACCGUUGCGUGUUACGGGUUCAUUAACUAGCAGAAGCUCCACCAGGUAAUCUCUACUGACUCGGACUCCAAAUGACAUCAUUAGCACAAUGUGGCAGCAAUAUCUUAGCUUCACUUUGCUAUAAAUAGAGGAGGUGGAGAUGAAUUGCCCAUCGUUAUGUAAAGUCGGUGGCUGAUUUUGAAAUUCUGAUCUCUGAGACCUACUAAAAUUAACUCAAGCUGACACUUGGUUAUGUAAGCCUUAGUUCUCUUGACCGUAGGUGCUUUUAAUUGGUAGCAAACACAUUUGUAAGGAAUCUACACCGCAGUGCUAGCAUGGUAUAGAAAAAUAUGUAGAAAGAGAAAAGGGUAGAGGCCAAAGGAGGCUGGGAUUGAUUGGAAACUGUGUGUUGCCCCGUCUCCUCCCUGGAAGUAGUAUUAAUGAAGGCAGUUAUUUUAGCUGGCUAGGAAGCAGAGAGAAAAUCUAAUAUGUUAAGGACUAUUUCUUCUUUAGUCCUAGGAGGCAAAAAAGACAAAGUGACUUCAUAAAAUCCCACAACUGCAGUCAGAAAAACAGGUUUCAACAUUGGCUUCUUUUGGCUUGAUCUUUGGUAUUGAUUCCUGUAGCACACUUACAGUACAACAGGCCCGUUAUCCGUCUGAUGCGAAUGUGCUCAAAAUGGGGAAUAGUUUUAUGAGUGUGGAUCAGUUAGUCUUGUAGUGUAAUACUGAAGCUUUUCUGGUGAGAUCCAAGGGGAAAUCUGGCAGCGCCUACGGGAGACCAAGAUGAAACCGUAAGAGCCGCUGACUUUUCUCUGACAUGAAGCGAGAAGAUUAUGACAGAAUGUUUUAUGUGGGGAUGAACUGUUCUCUGCAACACAAGCUCCUCUUAUACAGACAUACAGUCAAAGACGACAUACAGAGUCUGGAACCGUUUAACACCCACUGACAGGCUGGUAUUACUAGAAAAUGCUAUCAGUUCAUGAACCGGCACUUAAACAACUCUCUAAGCACUGUUAUUAGACAAAGCACAUCUAUGGCACACAUUUUUCUGUACCCAUCCAGUGAGUAUUUAUCUGAUGGAAAAAAAAAAAAAAAACAUUAAGAAGAUGUUUCAUCAGCAUACGCUAAGAUGUACGCCUUUGUUACAAGAUUCGUCUCACAUCCUGCUACUCUCAGCAAGGAUUUGAAAGGCGUCAUACAGAAGCUGAAAUGAUAAGAUAAGUCAGCAACGUAUCCAAGUCACCAAUGACAAAAAGUUUAAUGGGUUGCAGAGAACUUUACAAGCUUUCAAGACUGAUACUUAUCCACAUUUGCCAUUGGGGCCAAGUGCGCCAAUGGCAUAACCUUCAACCGGUGAAACCUUCAACCCAGUUUAGAGUUGAAAGUCACGACAAACCUAAAGUUAUAACCUGAGCGACAGUAAGUCUUGAUUCUAGCAUGCAUUGUCUUGACUGUCAAAAGAAUGACUUUAGAGUAAACAAACAUGGCAGACUAUGAAAGCUAUCUGCUCAGCUAUCUGGUACAUCCAUUUUCAUGCCUCUCCCUGUCAUUUGGUAUUGGUAUGAUUAACCUAACACAUGUGAACACUUGUGCUGCUGCAGUGUAUCAACGCUUGGGUUUGUUUAUUCUGACAUCCUUCUAAGUUUAUGUUUCGUGUUUACUAUGGCUGCCAUGACUACAGUUGUUGUGUUUCCGUCUUCGGUCAGGUUGCUUUCCCAUUGGCUAUCAUUUUGUUCCAUGUUUCUGAUGUAAAAUAUUAAACUACAGACUGUAUAAUCACUGGAAAUGGGAUCGUUGAUGAAAUCUAUUUGUUUUGAAACCAAUUGGCAGCCAUCCCUAUAUUGGUAAUGCCGACUAAACCAAACUUAUAGGCAACCUACUAGAGGCGGGGCUUCAGCCUCCUGCAAUUCUUAUUUCCAAGACCUACUUGAAUUAAUUCAACAUGACACAUAACUAAACAUGUGUGCAUUUGCUCUGUUUACAUGGUUCCCAGUGCCUCAAGCAGACACUCAUGGAUCUACAGUUUUUAUCUCUUUCACAUCGGCUUCAUUUCAACAUGUUUAAUAUUUUUGUUUUCAGCACAUGGUUGCUCUGAUAAUUUCUCAUGGGGAUCAGGGGGGAAAAAUCACUCUGAACACACCUCACACCACAGGAUAAUCUGGAACCAUCAGAUAAUCAGAACCUAAUCGCUGAUUGGUCCAUGAGGGACAAUCGUGCCCAAGUCAGCGCAAAUAAUCGCAUAACUAAAAAUACAAAUACAAAUACAAGGGUGGUACUUUUUGUUGAUUGAUGAAAUGGCAUCCGGUUAAUAGAGGGUACGCCUUGAUUGAACACACUCAGACAGUGAGCUAGUUUUAAGGUUUUCUUUUUUCUGCCGUGUUUGAAUUAAUAAAAGAACUCUCUCUCCAACUCCAGUAUGUGUCAGGCAGGAACACAGCGCUGUCCCUCAUCCUGCAGGUACUGAACAUCCUUAGGUUUUAUGCAAAUUAGACCACUAGCUCUGAGCUGUCAUUGCCUCUCAGUGCGGUGAAAGCUGGGGGAAUUCUCUCCAGAUAGUCGAUGAUUAUGCUGUUUUACAAUGGCAGUAUCAUGUAGUGUUGACUUUUUAUUUUUUGUUGACAGCUUUUGUUCUCUGUAUUUUUUACCAGGGGUUGUCCUGCUGUUGUAGUCAGAGCUGCACAACUAAAGUGCCGGCAUGUACGCAGUCAUCUUUGUAUUCCUGAUGUCGGGAACAUUUAAAUCAGCUCCUUUGUGGUGUCUUUGCACUGUCAUGCACAGCCCAUAUUGUAUAAUAUCAAUAUUUUUGUAUAAAAAAAUAAAAAUGCUUUGAAUUAUAUCUUUGCUAAAAGAACAUGCUGAACCUUUUCUUCUGAGGGGACAUUUCAUUUUAAUAAUUAUUCACAUCCUCCUCGAACAAACAUUGACCAAAAUUAUUGGAUAACAGUAUGAUUUUCUGACACAUCAGUUUCAUAACCAUAGUGGUAUUGCUCACCAGGUAGAUGAUACAUGGUGGUUAGGCUACAAAGACAUCAGAGAUUGCCUUUGGAAUGAAUCACAAGUCUUACAGAGUACUGGUAAAACCCAUUAAGAAUAACAUUUUGAUUUUUCAUCCAACACACAUUUACUGUAUAUUAAUGAUGUGUCUGGGUAUUAAAAUGCUCUUAAACAUAAUACAAACUUCUUUCUAGGUGGUACAACUUAAAAUGACUAUUUUAGGAUUCAUUUUGUUAGUGGAUUUUUACACUUUUUCUGGUGUAUCGGACAUUAAAUUUCAUAUUUGUGAGAUAAAGAGUGUUGGAACUGCACACAAACACUCAUAUGCUACGACAAUAACUUUAAAGUGACUAAACCAUCAGAAAAACACACCGCAAGAGUGGAUAUGGUAUUUGGAAAUAAAAGUGUUAUUAAUGGAUUUGAUAAGAAACACUCUGCUUUCAGUUAAUUUUGCUGUUUCCUGACGGAGACUCGUCUCCACCUGAUUAUGAGCGACUGAUUCUUGCUGUUCUCAUAAAUAACACUCUGCUCUCCUGGAGGACGUCCAAACCGACUUCAUAUCAGCAACAG